AUUGAUCAACAUUGGUAUUAAUCUCUAAAGAUAUCCUUACUACACCUGGAUGUCCUUGUUAACUUGCUGCUUCGUUCCAUUGUUGUUCAGAGGACUACAAACCAUUAAUUUCUGUAAAAUCAACAUAAUAGAUACCAAUUCCUCCUAUAUCUAAAAGUAACCACAUUAUAUCAGUAUGUCCUACUAGACUUGCUAUGUACAGAGGACUCCGGCCUUUAUUGUCACAAAGGUCAACAUUGGGAUUCAUCUCUAACAACAACUUUAAUAUAUCAGUAUGUCCUUCCUGACUUGCCAUGUACAAUGGACUACAGCCAGUGUUAUCACAUAGAUCAAUGUUAGCAUUUUUCUCUAUCAACAAUUUUACUAUUUCAGUAUGUCCAUACCGACUUGCCU
rnacentral:lncRNA from 1 species